AGUUUGAUCCUGGCUCAGAUUGAACGCUAUGGGAUGCUUUACACAUGCAAGUCGAACGGCAGCACGGACUUCGGUCUGGUGGCGAGUGGCGAACGGGUGAGUAAUGUAUCGGAACGUGCCUAGUAGCGGGGGAUAACUACGCGAAAGCGUAGCUAAUACCGCAUACGCCCUUCGGGGAAAGCGGGGGGACCUUCGGGCCUCGCACUAUUAGAGCGGCCGAUAUCGGAUUAGCUAGUUGGUGGGGUAACGGCUCACCAAGGUGACGAUCCGUAGCUGUGGCUUUGAGAGGACGACCAGCCACACUGGGACUGAGACAUUCUGGGCUCCACUCCUACGGGAGGCAAGCAGUGGGGAAUUUUGGACAAUGGGGAAACCCCGAUCCAGCCAUCCCGCGUGUGCGAUGAAGGACUUUGGGUUGUAAAGCACUUUUGGCAGGAAAGAAACGGCACGGGAUAAUACCCCGUGCAACUGACGGUACCUGCAGAAUAAGCACCGGCUAACUACGUGCCAGCAGCUGCGGUAAUACGUAGGGUGCAAGCGUUAAUCGGAAUUACUGCCGUGCAGCGUGCGCAGGCGGUUCGGAAAGAAAGAUGAAAUCCAGAGCUUAACUUUGGAACUGCAUUUUUAACUACCGAGCUAGAGUGUCAGAGGGAGGUGGCCCCGGCAGCAGUGAAUGCGUAGAUAUGCGGAGGAACACCGAUGCAGAAGGCAGCCUCCUGGGGAUAACACUGACGCUCAUGCACGAGCGUGGGGAGCAAACAGGAUUAGAUACCCUGGUAGUCCACGCCCUAAACGAUGUCAACUAGCUGUUGGGGCCUUCGGGCCUGGUAGCGCAGCUAACGCGAAGUUGACCGCCUGGGAGUACGGUCGCAAGAUUAAAACUCAAAGGAAUUGACGGAUCUGCACAUGCGGUAGAUGAUGUGGAUUAAUUCGAUGCACGCGAAAACCUUACCUACCCUUGACAUGUCUGGAAUCCCGAAGAGAUUUGGGAGUGCUCGCAAAGAGAACCUGAACACAGGUGCUGCAUGGCUGUCGUCAGCUCGUGUCGAGAUGUUGGGUUAAGUCCCGCAACGAGCGCAACCCUUGUCAUUAGUUGCUACGAAAGCGCACCUAAUGAGAUCUGCUGUGACAAACCGGGAGAAGGGGAUGACGUCAAGUCCUCAUGGCCCUUAUGGUAGGGCUUCACACGUCAUACAAUGGCAGCAAGAUAGAAAGAGAUAGCUGCAGGGUCGGGACAGAGGGCUCAACUCCAGGGAGCCAAUCCCAGAAACCCGAUCGUAGUCCGGAUCGCGUCUGCAACUCGACUGCGCGAAGUCGGAAUCGCUAGGUAAUCGCGGAUCAAAGCAUGUCGCGGCGGAAUACGUUCCCGGUCUUGUACACACCGCCCGUCACACCAAGGAGUGGUUUUACCGGUAAAGUAGUUAGCCUAACCGUGGCGAGACAUUACCACGGUAGGAUUCAUGACUGGGGUGAAGUCGUAACAAGGCA
rnacentral:rRNA from 1 species